rnacentral:rRNA from 1 species
CACGUAGGGUGCGAGCGUUGUCCGGAAUUAUUGGGCGUAAAGAGCUCGUAGGCGGUGUGUCGCGUCGGCCGUGAAAACCUGCAGCUUAACUGUGGGCUUGCGGUCGAUACGGGCAUCACUGGAGUUCGGCAGGGGAGACUGGAAUUCCUGGUGUAGCGGUGAAAUGCGCAGAUAUCAGGAGGAACACCGGUGGGCGAAGGCGGGGUCUCUGG